rnacentral:tRNA from 1 species
CGUUAAGUGUCUGAGUUAUAAGUAAUGGUCUCUUAAACCGUUUACGGCCGUAGGCCCUUGGCGA